CUUUUCUUGAUUACGGUAUGGUGUUUCGUGUAGUAUAUUUAGAAAUAGCUUUAGUAUUUUCCUCCUGGUAUAGAUCUUACAGUGACAAUUCAGUUUUUGUUUGAAAAGUCUCUAUUUUUUUAAUUUUUGAAAGAUAUUUUUGGUAAGUAAAAUUUUGGUAAGUAAAAAAUUCUUCAAGGAUUCUGAGUCUUUUGGUAGAUAAAGAAUUCUCUAAGACUAUUCUUUUUAAAUUUUGAAAUAGGGUCUCUCACCAAGUUGCAGAGGCUGGCCUCAAACUUGAGAUCCUCUUGCCCCAGCCUCCUGAGUUGCUAGAAUUAUAGGUGAGCAGGACCACACCUAGUUUAAGACUCCUUUUUCUAAUUUCCAUUCUUUUGUUUGGCUCCUGUGAUUUAUUUUCUGUUCCGAUGAUAUUGCCCUUAUUUGUAUUUAAUUGGUUGUUAAUUCUGUGAUUUUUUUAUGUGGUACUGAGCAGUGAACCAGUAGUGCUCUACUACUGAGCUAUGUUCCCAGCCUGUUUUUUUUUUUAAUUUUAAUGUUUCUUUAAUAUAUAUUUUUAUGUAAAUUUUAAAAAUUCAUAUAUGAUAGCAGAAUGCAUUACACUUAUUACACAUAUAGAGCACAAUUUUUCAUAUCUCUGUAUAUAAAUAUACUCACACCAAUUCAUGUCUUCAUACAUGUACUUUGGAUAGUAAUGUCCAUCACAUUCCACCAUCAUUAAUUACCCCAUGCCCCCUCCCAUUCCCUCCCACCCCUCCGCCCUAUCUGGAGUUCAUAUAUUCCUCCCAUGCUCCCCCUCCCUACCCCACUAUGAAUCAGCCUCCUUAUACCAAAGAAAACAUUUGGCAUUUGUUUUUUUGGGAUUGGCUAACUUCACUUAGCAUUAUCUUCUCUAACUCCAUCCAUUUACCUGCAAAUACCAUGAUUUUACCCUCUUUGGUUGCUGAGUAAUAUUGCAUUGUGUAUAUAUGCCACAUUUAAAAAAAAUCCAUUCAUCUGUUGAAGGGCAUCUGGGUUGGUUCCACAGUUUAGCUAUUGUGAAUUGUGCUGCUAUAACCAUUGAUGUGGCUGUGUCCCUGUAGUAUGCUGUUUUUAAGUCCUUUGGGUAUAGACCGAGGAGAGGGACAGAUUGUCCCCAGCCCAUUUAAUUUUUUGUUUUGAUACAGGGCCAGACUAAGUUUGCCCAGGCUGGCCUUGAAUUUGUGGUCCUCCUGCCUCAUUCUCCUGAGUUGCUGGGACUAUAGACAGGCAUGUGUCACCAUGCCCAGCCUUGUCAACUGAAUUCUUAACAUCCUCUAUUGUAGUAUUCAAUUCUAUAAUUUUUAUUUGAAUUUUAAAAUAGUUUCAUUUUCAGAUGAAAUUAUCCAUAUCGUCAUCUAUUUUCUUCAAUAUUUAAUUGUACUCAUUUAAAAGCUCUUAUCUUUUGAGUCCAAUAUCUGAUUACUUUGCAGAUUUCUUUAAAAAAAAAUUAAGUCACUUUAAUAUGCC
rnacentral:lncRNA from 1 species